AGUGAACGCUGGCGGUAGGCCUAACACAUGCAAGUCGAACGGCAGCACAGUAAGAGCUUGCUCUUACGGGUGGCGAGUGGCGGACGGGUGAGGAAUACAUCGGAAUCUACUUUUUCGUGGGGGAUAACGUAGGGAAACUUACGCUAAUACCGCAUACGACCUACGGGUGAAAGCAGGAGAUCUUCGGACCUUGCGCGAUUGAAUGAGCCGAUGUCGGAUUAGCUAGUUGGCGGGGUAAAGGCCCACCAAGGCGACGAUCCGUAGCUGGUCUGAGAGGAUGAUCGGCCACACUGGAACUGAGACACGGUCCAGACUCCUACGGGAGGCAGCAGUGGGGAAUAUUGGACAAUGGGCGCAAGCCUGAUCCAGCCAUACCGCGUGGGUGAAGAAGGCCUUCGGGUUGUAAAGCCCUUUUGUUGGGAAAGAAAAGAAGCAGGUUAAUACCCCGCUGUUCUGACGGUACCCAAAGAAUAAGCACCGGCUAACUUCGUG
rnacentral:rRNA from 1 species